UACGGAGGGAGCUAGCGUUGUUCGGAAUUACUGGGCGUAAAGCGCGCGUAGGCGGCUUUGUAAGUUAGAGGUGAAAGCCCGGGGCUCAACCCCGGAAUUGCCUUUAAGACUGCAUCGCUAGAAUCCGGGAGAGGUGAGUGGAAUUCCGAGUGUAGAGGUGAAAUUCGUAGAUAUUCGGAAGAACACCAGUGGCGAAGGCGGCUUACUGGUCCGGUUCUGACGCUGAGGCGCGAAAGCGUGGGGAGCAAACAGG
rnacentral:rRNA from 1 species